GCCACCGUAGCUCAGAUGGUAGAGCAACGCACUCGUAGCGCGUAGGUCCGGGGUUCGAUCCCCCGCGGUGGCUCCA
rnacentral:tRNA from 1 species